GUAAGGAAUAUUGGACAAUGGACGCAAGUCUGAUCCAGCCAUGCCGCGUGAAGGAUUAAGGUCCUCUGGAUUGUAAACUUCUUUUAUAAGGGACGAAAAAAGGCUUUUCUAAGUCGUCUGACGGUACCUUAUGAAUAAGCACCGGCUAACUCCGUGCCAGCAGCCGCGGUAAUACGGAGGGUGCAAGCGUUAUCCGGAUUCACUGGGUUUAAAGGGUGCGUAGGUGGGCAGGUAAGUCAGUGGUGAAAUCCUAGAGCUUAACUCUAGAACUGCCAUUGAUACUAUCUGUCUUGAAUAUUGUGGAGGUAAGCGGAAUAUGUCAUGUAGCGGUGAAAUGCUUAGAUAUGACAUAGAACACCUAUUGCGAAGGCAGCUUACUACGCAUAUAUUGACGCUGAGGCACGAAAGCGUGGGGAUCAAACAGGAUUAGAAACCCUUGUAGUCC
rnacentral:rRNA from 1 species